CGAACGAUGAAACUUAAAUGAUUUCUUCGGAAUGAACUUAAGUGGAUUAGUGGCGGACGGGUGAGUAACGCGUGAGUAACCUGCCUUACACAAGGGGAUAGCCGUUGGAAACGACGAAUAAUACCCUAUGAAACUAUCACUUCGCAUGAAGCGAUAGUCAAAGUGUUAGCGGUGUAAGAUGGACUUGCGUCUGAUUAGCUAGUUGGUGAGAAAAAAGCCCACCAAGGCAACGAUCAGUAGCCGGCUUGAGAGAGUGUACGGCCACAUUGGGACUGAGACACGGCCCAGACUCCUACGGGAGGCAGCAGUGGGGAAUUUUGCACAAUGGGGGAAACCCUGAUGCAGCGACGCCGCGUGAUUUAGAAGGCCUUCGGGUUGUAAAAAUCUUUUGUAUAGGAAGAAAAUGACAGUACUAUACGAAUAAGGUCCGGCUAAUUACGUGCCAGCAGCCGCGGUAAUACGUAAGGACCGAGCGUUGUCCGGAAUCAUUGGGCGUAAAGGGUACGUAGGCGGGUCAUUAAGUUAGAAGUCAAAGGCUAUAGCUCAACUAUAGUAAGCUUCUAAAACUGGCGACCUUGAGUAAUGGAAGGGAAAGUGGAAUUCCUAGUGUAGCGGUGGAAUGCGCAGAUAUUAGGAGGAAUACCGGUGGCGAAGGCGACUUUCUGGCCAUUAUCUGACGCUGAGGUACGAAAGCGUGGGUAGCAAACAGGAUUAGAU
rnacentral:rRNA from 2 species